UAGAGUUUGAUCCUGGCUCAGGAUAAACGCUGGCGGCGUGCAUGAGACAUGCAAGUCGAACGAACAACCCGGGCUUGCCUGGGGCGUUAGUGGCGAACGGCUGAGUAACGCGUAGGUGACCUGCCCGGAAGUGGGGAAUAACUGCCCGAAAGGGUGGCUAAUACCGCAUGUGGCCACACGUUCAUUCAUGUGACCAAAGCCGCAAGGCGCUUCCGGAGGGGCCUGCGUUCGGUUAGCUCGUUGGUGGGGUAACGGCUCACCAAGGCGACGAUCGAUAGGUGGUCUGAGAGGAUGAUCACCCAGACUGGGACUGAGACACGGCCCAGACUCCUACGGGAGGCAGCAGUGGGGAAUCUUGCGCAAUGCGCGAAAGCGUGACGCAGCAACGCCGCGUGAGGGAAGAAGGCCUUCGGGUUGUAAACCUCUUUCAGUUGGGACGAAGCUUCGCCGGUUAAUAGCCGGCGGGAGUGACGGUACCUUCAGAAGAAGCCCCGGCUAAUUACGUGCCAGCAGCCCCGGUCAAAUCGAUUCCCGCGGCCG
rnacentral:rRNA from 1 species